rnacentral:rRNA from 1 species
UACGAAGGGGGCUAGCGUUGCUCGGAAUUACUGGGCGUAAAGGGCGCGUAGGCGGAUAGGUUAGUCAGAGGUGAAAGCCCAGGGCUCAACCUUGGAAUUGCCUUUGAUACUGGCUAUCUUGAGUUCGGGAGAGGUGAGUGGAAUGCCGAGUGUAGAGGUGAAAUUCGUAGAUAUUCGGCGGAACACCAGUGGCGAAGGCGACUCACUGGCCCGAUACUGACGCUGAGGCGCGAAAGCGUGGGGAGCAAACAGG